GGGGAAUAUUGGACAAUGGGCGAAAGCCUGAUCCAGCCAUGCCGCGUGUGUGAAGAAGGUCUUCGGAUUGUAAAGCACUUUAAGUUGGGAGGAAGGGCAGUAAGUUAAUACCUUGCUGUUUUGACGUUACCAACAGAAUAAGCACCGGCUAACUUCGUGCCAGCAGCCGCGGUAAUACGAAGGGUGCAAGCGUUAAUCGGAAUUACUGGGCGUAAAGCGCGCGUAGGUGGUUUGGUAAGAUGGAUGUGAAAUCCCCGGGCUCAACCUGGGAACUGCAUCCAUAACUGCCUGACUAGAGUACGGUAGAGGGUGGUGGAAUUUCCUGUGUAGCGGUGAAAUGCGUAGAUAUAGGAAGGAACACCAGUGGCGAAGGCGACCACCUGGACUGAUACUGACACUGAGGUGCGAAAGCGUGGGGAGCAAACA
rnacentral:rRNA from 1 species